rnacentral:rRNA from 1 species
AUUGAACGCUGGCGGCAUGCCUUACACAUGCAAGUCGAACGGCAGCACGGGAGCUUGCUCCUGGUGGCGAGUGGCGAACGGGUGAGUAAUACAUCGGAACGUACCCUGAAGUGGGGGAUAACGUAGCGAAAGUUACGCUAAUACCGCAUAUUCUGUGAGCAGGAGAGAGGGGGAUCGCAAGACCUCUUGCUUUAGGAGCGGCCGAUGUCGGAUUAGCUAGUUGGUGAGGUAAAGGCUCACCAAGGCGACGAUCCGUAGCGGGUCUGAGAGGAUGGAUCCGCCACACUGGGACUGAGACACGGCCCAGACUCCUACGGGAGGCAGCAGUGGGAAUUUUGGACAAUGGGCGCAAGCCUGAUCCAGCCAUGCCGCGUGAGUGAAGAAGGCC